CAAAGAAAUCUUUGGCCAGUGUCUUUCGUUAUAAAUAUUUAAUGUUUUUGUUCUGAUAUUUUACUCGUUUAUUUAGCUGCUGCUGCUAUGUUUAGAUCAUAUUUUUUUAUUUUAGCAACGUCAAUUUGGACCUCAUGCACCAUCAAUAACUCACACUGAGACGUAAGGCGAGAUAUCGGCUUUUAUUGACUGGAAGAAGGAACCAGGAUGAGAAGAGGGCUUGGCCUUGAUGUGGAUGCUGCAUUCCUGUGGCUGGGCACCACGUACUGAAGACAGUGAUUAAGAGUGCUGUGCCUGUGCUGGACUGGACUGUGUCUACCACCUUCUGUCGCUUUUACCAUUCCUGCUUUGAAAAUAUCUGCCCUGGAAUUAAUUACAUUUGGGUGAGAAUUCAACCGACGCUGGUCCAGAGCACAGUGAGAUGCUGCCUGACCUGCUGAGUUACUCCAGCAUUUGAUGUAGGAAAGAAUUUGGUACUUUCAGGGGAACAACAUAAAUGUACCCUGACAGCAGCUGUGAGGUGGAAGAAUGUUUGAACAGAAAGGCUGGACAAA